UUACAAUGCGCAUCGUCGGGGUUUUACCACAAAUGAACAAUGGUAAGCUUUUGGGUUUGAAGAAUGAAGAAGAUUCAGAACCAAAAAAGAUCCUGGCCUGUGAAGAGAGCUAAAUGGAGUCAAGAAGCAGGUUUGCUUAGAGAGCUAAAUGAGUCAAGAAGCAGAACUUGUAUGUGUUUGAAAGGAUUGAAGCUAAGUAUAAGUUGAAGAUGCUUAUUAAUUUCCUUCCUCAAAUCAAGCUCUUCACUCCAUAGCUCCAUCUUCUACCUGCACCACAAAGAAGUACACAUCUGCCAAAACUCAAGGGAUUACAUCUUCAAACAAUGGCAAUGGCUUCAACGUAAGUGUCUUAAGAUUUCUUUUUCAGAUAGCUUUGAGAUUGUCAGAGGUAUCUUCUCCUGUUCUUCUAAACCUACGAAUCGAUUUGGUGUGUGAUUUCGUGUGUUCCAACCAAGACUAUUAUUUGUAUUAGAUGAUUUUGCUUUUGUAUUAGAUGGGAACACUCAGGUUUUUUUUCAAGGAUGAAGUAGAUUCAGAAACAGUCGCCGGCGUUCUUACAGUAGCAACAUCAAACUGAUUAAAAGGUGUGUGUUCGUGUUCCUCAAAGAGUCAAAGCUUUUGUACUGAGUCCUUUUCUGCAAAUGAGGUUGAUCACAUUGCUCUUGUUACAUAUGAUAUUGCUCGGCAAAGGUGCGGUAAACUCGGAGGUAAAUUCUUGAUAACUGCUUAAAAGUAUAAAAUUUCCAGCUAAAUUAGAAAAUGAUGAGGUUGUUGUGGAGGAAAUAAGCUCGGCAAAGGUGCGAUCGCUGUUGUGGAGGAAAAGACAUCAAUGGCUUCGGAGUAUCCUGAGGUUGAAGUGAGUAAUCUCUUGAUUGACACCGCUGUGAUGGAUCUUUGUUCGGCACCCAGUACAGGUUGUUUGGAGACCGCUUCCAGCGAAGAUGGUAUCGAACCGCAGCGUGCUAUAUAGUUGUGAGGUUCUUGGUAAGAUGUGGAAGAGACAUUGAGCAGACGCAAACAGAAUCAGAUCCAUUAUCACCUAAGCUUCUCGGGUUUCUUAUUUUUGGUUCCAGCCACAAGAAAUCAUCACUCGAUAAGAGCUCGUCGUUCAAAGAGCAAAGUCCUCAUGUUGCUUAAUUCUGUAAAGAGCAUACUUGAAAGUCAUGCCAGUUACUUGAGCUUGUUGCUUUCGUCAAAGGCUUGUUGCUUUCGUCAAAGGCACCCAGUUUGAUAUUGUGGAUUUUCUUCAACGAGAAAGAUAUGGUUGUGCGCAGCUGCAAGACUUGAGCUGAUUGGGAAAAAGUCGCUUGAAAGGCAUACGAAAGAUGAGAAAUCGUACCUGGGGCAGGCUGCCGGAUACAUUGAUGACCUGAAGGAGGCCUAUGACGGACACUUGAAGGAUGCAAGAGCACUUGAAGGAUGUAAGAGCACUCGAGUACCUGGGAUUUCCAGAUUCAGUGAACCUGUAGUACUUCAUUAUAAGUACGUGGGAUCUAUGCUCAGCUGCAAGAGAGUGUAAGAUCUCGACAGCUUUCUGUGACUUAGUGCAGAUCUCGACAGCUCCAGCUUUGCAUGCACCACAUCUGCUAGAGUUUUCUGGAAUUUAAUCUUCAAGCAAUGGAAAGGGCUAACGAACAUCCAUAAACAUCUUCAAUAGCUUCACCGUAAAUUUUUAAUCAAAAUAAUGAUUGGAGGCCUCAUUAUACUGAACUAAGGAGGAGGCUUGUAGCCCUGGAUUAUGGUGCAAACAAUUCCUCAAUACAUGACUGAUGAAAGUUUCAAACAAAUUGAGCAUGCGAAAAUGAUUUUAAUCACCUCAAAGUUUGGUCUACCAGUCUUUAAUCACCUCAAUGUUUGGUCUACCAGUCUCAUAGCUUCUAGUUGUUCUAGGAUAUGGACACCAUCUUCUGCGCAAAACUGAUCCAAGGGCAAAAGAGAGUUUGCCUUGAAGCAUUUACCUGAUGACACUCUUUUGCAGCUGGUGUCAAAGCUUUACGAAGUUGUGCCACCCUGUUCUCACCGAGCUUGGAAAGGUGAAGAACCCGUGACCAAGUGUUGAUGCUCACUGUGGGGUCUUGCUGGACUACUAUGGUCGAACCGAAGCAAGGUACUGCACCGUUCUCUUUGGUGUUUGAAGGAGUCGUGGCAUCUGCUCUCAGGCAAAAAAAAUUGGCAACGCUUGGAAAUUCGAAUGAAGAGAAACCAAAGAGUGUAUCAUCUCAUCCCCAUUGUCUAAUUUGGCUCCUUAACUGUAUCCACCUGAAACACACAUAACCUCAGAU